UGUCAGCUGAGGUCAUAAACCUAGAGGUUCUUACUUUAGCCGAGUCUUUUAAAUUGAGUUAAAUGGUCUCUUCCCUGCUCAUUUCUUAAGGGUGCUUUAGCCACUUAGCAUGUAGCUUAGCAGUUUAGCUACUUAGCAGUUAUCUUAGCACUUUAGCCCUUAGCAUGUGGUUUAGCGCUGUAGCUGCUCAGCUUGUAGCACAGCACUUUAACCACUUAGCAUGUGGUUUAGCGCUGUAGCUGCUCAGCUUGUAGCACAGCACUUUAGCCACUUAGCAUGUGGUUUAGCGCUGUAGCUGCUCAGCUUGUAGCACAGCACUUUAGCCACUUAGCAUGUGGUUUAGCGCUGUAGCUGCUCAGCUUGUAGCACAGCACUUUAGCCACUUAGCAUGUGGUUUAGCGCUGUAGCUGCUCAGCUUGUAGCACAGCACUUUAGCCACUUAGCAUGUGGUUUAGCGCUGUAGCUGCUCAGCUUGUAGCACAGCACUUUAGCCACUUAGCAUGUGGUUUAGCACUGUGACUGCUUAGCUUGUAGCACAGCACUUUAGCCACUUAGCAUGAAGUUUAGCACUGUGACUGCUUAGCUUGUAGCACAGCACUUUAGCCACUUAGCAUGAGGUUUAGCACUGUGACUGCUUAGCUUGUAGCACAGCACUUUAGCCACUUAGCAUGAAGUUUAGCACUGUGACUGCUUAGCUUGUAGCACAGCACUUUAGCCACUUAGCAUGAAGUUUAGCACUGUGACUGCUUAGCUUGUAGCACAGCACUUUAGCCACUUAGCAUGAAGUUUAGCACUGUGACUGCUUAGCUUGUAGCUAGCCCGUUGUUGUUUGUUUGACUGCGAUGGGUGGGAGAUGUGUGCUUAAGGCUGAUUAGCUGUUUCCUCCUUUCUCAUAACCCCUGGGCCAGUGAGUCAGCAUCAAAAAACAACA